AUUUUUUUGGAGAGUUUGAUUCUGGCUCAGAACGAACGUUGGCGGCGUGGUUAAGGCAUGCAAGUCGAGCGAUUUUAUUGAGUCUUGAGGCCGCAAGGCCGAGAGACUUGAUUUAAUAGCGGCAAAAGGGUGAGGAAUACGUGGGUAAUCUACCUUCGGGACGGGGAUAACACUCCGAAAGGAGUGCUAAUACCGGGUAAGACCACGGCUCCGCAUGGAGCUGCGGUAAAAGAUGGGGACCGUAAGGCCUAUCGUCUGAAGAGGAGCCCAUGUCCUAUCAGCUAGUUGGCGGGGUAACGGCCCACCAAGGCUUUUGACGGGUAGCUGGUCUGAGAGGAUGGUCAGCCACAUUGGGACUGAGACACUGCCCAGACUCCUACGGGAGGCU
rnacentral:rRNA from 1 species